rnacentral:lncRNA from 1 species
AAUCACAAUGUAGAAAAUGAGUUGUAUUUUUAUUUCAGGCUCACGUUGAAUAUAAAUCUCUGGGAUUCCUGCUGAUAGUCCAGUGGUUAAUUUUACUGCGUCGAUAUCCAAGCCAACUAUUGUUAUGAUAAUCCCCUAUGUCUUAGAGCUUGAAACAGGGUAAGUACUCAACAAAUAUUUGCUAAAUGAAUCUGUUGAAUAUUUCCUCUUUGCCAAGUUUUAGAAGCUUUUGGAUUCCUUGGACUCUGACUGAAUAUAAGUGGGCUUCGGAGUCAAACUCAGAAAUGGCUGCAUAACUGAAGACCCCUUUAAGUUCAUGGUGUCUGAUGGAAGGAUGAGAGGGGUUGGUGCUGUUUGCUUCCUGGUUUCAGUGACUUUGCACCAAACUGAUGUUUUUGCUUGUUUGGGGUUUUAUGUUUGUUUGUUUGUUUGUUCUUGGUCUUCCGAAAUUUUUUCUCUUAAAUCCUGCUGCACUUCUCUCUUGUGCAUUUGUUGCAUUUUUAAAAAAUUGUGUUAGCAGUUGGAGUCAUGCAGGAAAGACCUGACCCUUCUCUGAAUUUUUUUUUUUAACUUUCUUUUGGUGCCUUUGGCAACAGGGCCAGAAAGUGUCACGGGGGGAAUAGCUUUGAGCAUCACUCCUUUAUGGCAGAAAAUCAUCUUAGCUCUAUUGUUACCAGCUCAAUCCAGUUUGGGCACCACAGUAUUAUGUUCCUAAUCAUGCAGGAGCCUGUGAAUUCAAUUAAAAUCUGGUGUGACUUCCUGAAACCACCAGUUAGUAUGACUGCAUUCCUUUAACUCAAUUGGGCAGGAUGGCACAUGUCCUAAAACUUGCCAGAGUCUCUUAUUAGCAUCUAUUUCUUACUACCCAGAGUUCAAGAAACUCUCUGGUGGUUAUUUUUUCUGCAGCCCCUCGACUCCCCCUGUGUGUGUGUGUGUUUUUUUUUUUUCAGCAUCCUGGGUAUGGAGCAGGUUUGGGUUUGAAUGUCACGGUUUUGAGCAAAUUUGAAAAUAAGUGGGUUUGUAGGAGUCAGAGUGAGAAGGGUAGCUGGUCGCAUAAGAGGAGUGAGAAGUUAACGGACUGUGGGAGGGAUGAGUCACAGCUGCUUGGAGCUCCAGAAACAGCUCAGCCCAGCCAGCUGCAGGCACUUGCCUCAGCCUUUCAGCAAGUGACUCUCCCGACCCCCAAAUGGCUGGGAUAGGAAUGAGUCGGAGGUCCUGAGGAGGAAACUCCAUGUUUGCAAACUGUACCAAGAUCUCAGUUCCCCUCAGGGGCAGUCUUUGAAAGCUGGUCAUCAGCCUGGGCUCACAGGAGUGACCUGAAGGAGGGCACUGCCCAGGUGACAGAGGCUGGAAUCCACACAAUCUCGCUUUUCUUUUCUUUGCAUAGAUUUAAGCUGAAGGAUCUACUGCUGUUGCUGUAUUCAAAACUAGGACAUCCCUAAUGCUUCAUCAUUUUUCUCAGUUCUGACAAAAAGCUCACAUGUACAUUUAUGCACCACACCCUUAUAUGUGUUGGGAGGGAAAAGCUGGUAAUAAAAACAAGGGUUAAAAAAAAAAAAAGCAUCACAGUAUUGUAGUUGGGUUUCAUCUGUGCUGCCCUCCAACUAAUGAUCUGAUAGGAAAGACCCUCAGAGACGUCAGAGCUGUGGAGAGAAGGAAAGGCAUGUAGCUCCAGGUUGGAUCGACCAUUGGGCCAGGCUAUUCAUCAGGAGUUGUCGCCAGAGACCUCUGGAUCACGUGGCUGUGACCCAUGACUCCGGAGAGGCUGUGAGGUCAGGUAGUCUUACAGUAUCUCAGAGGACCCCCAGUUGUCAUUCCCUUCAUGGUUGAAGGACCCUACUGCAAAAGGCCCUUCAGCUUGUGGACAAAGGCCGUAAGGCUAAUACACUCUGCCAACACCUCUGGGUCACCGCUCUGAGUUAAGACCUUUACUCUUAGGGUCCUGGUGUCCAAGUCUUCAGGCUCCAACAGUACCGCAUCCCUAAGCUGCUCAGCACUAAGGGAAUUAACUUGUGGAUCCAUUAUGUACACUGCUUUUUGGCUAGGCACUCACUCCUUGGACUGUUAGAUAACAGCUCUGGAAAAUCCACAGACUUUUCUCUCAUUUUGCCUGGAGGGAAUGAGGGCUUUGCACCCCCCGCCGCACGCAGGUGUUUCCUUCUUCAGAAAGAGAGUCGAAGGCUGCUCCAAACAGAGAGCUCUGUCAUCUCAAGAACAGCUCGCUUUAGAGCAGCUCAGCUAACUUGCUGUCCCUUUCUUCUCGCAUUCAACACUGACUCUGUAGGUCUAGAGCUUAAUUGGAGAAAUAUUUUAAAUUCCACUGAUAGGUGGCCCUUCUCUGAUUCUUGCAAGCGGAAAAUAUUUUGCUUUGGUCUGAAGCAGCUCCAGGGACAAUGUACAGCAUUCAACCUCUUGCACUGAGCGGUCAAACAGCUGCAGGUUAUUACAGAAGCUGGAGAACAUUCUGUAUUUAAAAUGAAAUCUCUACACCUGACAGCAGCUGCAAAAGCAUCUAUGCAGAAGGGAAAAAUGGUUCCCAUGAACAAGGGCCUUUGAAAUGUUACACACCAGGACAAAGCCCUCCUGCUGGAAGGCAGGGUAAAUUUGUCUGCAUCCCACAGUCAUUCCAUGUGUAAUCUCUAAUUAAAUUUACUUAUUUGGGUCUCCAAAUUUUUUUUCUCCAAGCCAGCACAAGGGUUUGGUUGCCAUCCACCUACUCUUGCUUUUGAAAAGGCCGGUCAUGUGAUGAACCAUAACUACUAAUGAAGAUUCUCAUUAAAUAAAAUAAUAUAUAUUUAGAAUAUUCAGACCUGCUGAACUUUCCUACAUUAGCAUGGUUAGAAGGAUAAAAAGGCAUAAGAAUUCCAGAUAGGGCUUUAAUCCUAAAGCAUAGAAAAAAACAAAUUAACUAUAUCCCCAGGGCACUCAAGGGCACGUUUCUCUUGCCUGGCUAAAACGAAAUCUUGGUCCCUAAGAAUCACACCUGACAUUUCUCUUGAUUUAAUUAGAUGCAAAGAGGGAACAAAGCCACAUUUAAAUGAAUGAACAUGAAUGCCUAAUUAUUUUUGUUGCAAAUUAUCUGCAUGUUUUCCUUCCCUUUGCAUGGCUUGCCGAGCCUUUUACAAAGUGUUCCUAUCUACAUUGUCUUAUUCGAAUUUCUCAGCAAUCUUGUGAAGAAAACAGGUGACAAAGUGACUAUCAUCACUUUGCAGGUGGAGAAACAAGCUCCAAGAGGUCUCAGGCAGUGACGCUCUGCACCACGAGUAAGGAUUUAAUCUCUGCUGCUUUCCAGAAGGCACUGAGGCUGUUUUGUCAGUAUAGCCAAUGCUUGUGUGUGUGAGUGCCUUGGUGUAAGUAUGGAGGCAAAAGGGAGCUGGAAGUUUACCGAAAAAAGUGGAAAAUGGACGAAAAAAGGGUGAGAAUACCUAGAGAAGUUAGGCAAAAGUGUGAUUCUGUGCAGCAAAAUCGGCCCAUGUGCCAUAGGAUGACAGUAUGAAAUGAACAGCUAUAAAAUGUGCUACAGAGUUCCCACUGUAGUGCAGUGAGUUAAGAAUCUGACUGCAGUGGCUCGGGUUGCUGCAGAGGGGCGGGUUUGUUCCCGGCCGGGCUCAGUGGAUUAAGGGAUCCAGCGUUUCUGCAACUGUGGUGAUAGAUGCAACUGCGGCUCGGAUUCAGUCUCUGGCCUGGAAACGUCCAUAUGCUGUGGGUGCAGCCAUAAAAAUAUAUAUGUAUGCUACACUUCAUGAUUUCUCAAAAGAUGGUCAAUGAAAAUUCUUUGGUUGGCAUCCUAGCCACCACUAAGCAUUACUUUUAGCAUAUAUUGUAGUCAGUACACGGAGUAACAAUAAGUCACAACUUUGAGAUAAAGUUAACCUCUAGGACUAAUGAGGAAGCACUAAAAGAUAAUGAGUGAAGUCAGUAAAUUAUUGACUAGGGAGAUAAAGAUGCCCUAAUUUAAUCAAUGCAUUACAUCAGGACAUCUGUAUUAACUUAUCUGAGGCUGACCAUAAUAGGUGUUAUUAACCUGGAGGAAUAGGAAUCAAUUAUAUUUGUGCUUUAUCUAGGGAAGGAUGACUGUUAAUAGGAGGGGAGGGCAGAAUACCACUCUCACAAGCAAGGAGUUAGCAGGAAUUUGGUAAGGUUGGGGGUGGAGGAGGAGGUAACUGGCAGUCAGUGAAGUCCCUAUUAUGGGCCAGGAUGCUUCAUCAGGUGUUAUGGCACCUGGGAAUCCCUGUGCCCUGAUUUCAUGCACUUCAAGCAGCCUCUAAGGGACCUGGAAAACUGGAAGGGGCUAUUGAGAUUGGAGUAAAUGUCUUUGGAAGGAUCUAACCCCCUUAUAAAUUAAUAAACUACCUUCUGGUUUAGAUUUCAGGUCUUUAAGGAUAGCUGGAGUGAGUCUGUCUCCUAUGAUGCAACCAAUUCUAAGGGUCCUGGGUCAGCCAAGCAGAACCCCGAUCUUUAAAUGUGAUGAGCAUGCCAAGGCUCUUUGUCCAUUUUGACUGUCUCCAGUGGACAGCCAGGCUUCUUGGAUCACAGCUCUGCUGAUCUCCCAUAGUGGAAGACGGACAGGGGACAUGGUGCUUUUUUCUUGUAUUUAAAUGAAUCAUUUCUUGUGGCAUGCAGGGUAGUAGCCUGGUUCAAGGGCAGAUGCAGCCCCACACUGGGACUGGAGAGAAUAGGGGUUCUUGUCUUGGUGUCACCUCUAGCCACAUUUUUGAUAUUUCAAACUAGUUAACCUCAGCCUAGGUUUCCUCAUCUAUACAGAGAAGGCAUUCCACUAUAAGCUCCUUAUAAUUUGCCCAAGGUCACCAAGCUGAUUGCUACCGUCUGGACCUCUACUCCAUUACUCUUCUCCUACUUUACUUCUCUCUGUAAAUUUGGGAGCAGAGUGUGGGUUGGUGGGAGCAGGAGAGUCUCCAGGGAGUAGUGAGAUAGCUUAAAGUGGAUUUCCCUUCUUAACUGGUUGGAAUCAAGGUAGAUUACGCACAGACUUUUGUUACCUACAUGAAGGCCUCAUAAAUCAAGAGCCAUUUCAGUAGUUCCUGUUGUGGCUUAGUGGGUUAAGAACCUGGCUAGUAUCCCUGAAGACUCUGGCGGGUUUGAUCUCUGGCCUUGCUCAGUGGGUUAAGGAUCCAGUGUUGCCAUGAGCUGCAGUGUUGGUUCAGACGCAGCUAAGAUCUGGCAUUGCUAUGGCUGUGGUGUAGGCCUGCAGCUGCAGCUGCAAUUCGACCCCUAGCCUGGGAACCUCCAUAUGCUGCAGGUGUGGCCCUAAAAAAA